UUCUUUUUGAAUUUAAUUUAAAGUAUAACCUGCCCAUUGAAAAUUUUAAAAGGCUGCGGUAUUUUGACCGUACAAAGGUAGCAUAAUCAUUAGUUUUUUAAUUGAAAACUUGUAUGAAUGGUUGAAUGAGAAAUUUACUUUUUUAAUUAAAAAAUUGAAUUUAACAUUUUAGUUAAAAGGCUAAAAUAAAUUUAAAAGACGAGAAGACCCUAUAGAGUUUUAUAAUUUAAAUUUAAUUUGAAUAAAGUUUAUUUUAUAAAUUAUUUAAUUAAAUUAUUUUAUUGGGGUGAUAAUAAAAUUUAAAUAACUUUUAUUUUUUUUUACAUUAAUAUAUGAAAAUUUGAUCCAUUAUUUAUGAUUAAAAAUUUAAAUUACCUUAGGGAUAACAGCGUAAUUUUUUUUUUAAGUUCAUAUUAAUAAAAAAUUUUGCGACCUCGAUGUUGGAUUAAGAUUUAAUUUUAGGUGCAGAAGUUUAAAAUUAAAGUCUGUUCGACUUUUUAAUUCUU
rnacentral:rRNA from 1 species